AUGUUUGAGAAGGAGUAUACUCAGGUAAAAGUAAAAACCGCAUCUUCUGCCAAGCAGGAAGAAUAUGGAGGAAGGAAACAUUUUUACUACUUUGUGCUGAAAACAAACUGCAUAUGCAGAGACCAAUUUAUGUUUUUUUCUGAGCUAUUAGUUCCCUCUUCAAUAAUUAUACUUAAGUGUCUGUUUUGGUCAUAUUAUUUAUUUAUUCAUGAGAGAGAGAGAAACAGGUUCCAGGCAGGGAGCCUGAUGUGGGACUCGAUCCCUGGACUCCAGGAUCACACCCUAGGCUGAAGACGGCUAAACUGCUGAGCCACCCGGGCUGCCCAAUUUUUACUUUCUCAAUCUAAACUUGAACAUUCUAAGACCCAAUAGAAGUUUCCUGUGGUAGGAGAUAAACCCCAUUGACAGUGUGUGGCAUCCUGAUAUUGGAUGAAGGAGAACUUAACUCAGGUGUCACUGCCUCAGGCGGAGGCCUGUGAGUAUGAGUAUUCCUGAUAGACAGAAACCACAGAAAGAAAGUAUAUUUAAUUCUUGGGAUUCACCCUCACAGCUUUCCCUCUAGACUCAGAAAAUUAAUUGUUUCUUCUCCUGUUCAAAGUUAACUCCCACACCUAAACUGUUGAUCACCUUUAUUUCAUCUCCUGUGGGAUUUUACAACACCAAUUGCUCCCUUAUUCCUCUCUCAUAUGUUCACCUUUUCUAUCGACUGGCCCCUUCCCCACAGCAGGAAAGUGUAUUCAGAUCUCCCAUAACUUCCCAUCCUCCUAUAGCCAAGACUGCCUCAAGGGGGCACCUGGCUGGGUCCCUGGGUAGCACAGGGCUCUUGAUUUCAUUGAGUUCAAGCCCCACAUUAGCCAUAGAGCUUACUUAAAAAAAAAAAAAAAAAAAAAAAAAAAAAAGGACAGCUCCAGACCCCUUUCUCUUUCCAUUCCUAAAUAAUUUGUGUGUACUUUUUUUAUCCUAUGUCUUAACCUUUAUUUUACUGUAAUUAGACCACAACCACUAUAUUCCUGAAACUGCAAUGCUAAAGAUCACUAAUUGCCUAAUGAACAAAUCCAAUGGCCAGUUUUAAUUCCUUGCCUUAUUUAAUCUCUCUAAUUGCUUCUAAAAAAAACAACUAUAAGCCAGACACACCUUUAGGUGCUUUAUAAAGAUUAGCUCCUAUAACAAACCUAUGAGGUAGUUACCAUUUUUAUCUCUGUUUUGUAGAUACACAGAAAGAUUGAGUAAUUUGUCCAGGAUCACCACCAUCUACUCCUUUAUUUCUUUAAUGUUUUUGUUUAGGUUGAUUCGUUUCUGAGAUGACAGCUGGGGUAGUCAGAAUAGUGCACACACACCCCUAGCCACCCAUGACUUAAUAUCCCUAGAACCUCUGAAUAUGUUAGGUUACAUGGCAAAGGAGAAUUAAGGUUGCAGAGAGAUUAAAAUGACUGAUCAGCUGGUAGGGAGAACAACCUGAAUUAUUCAAGUGAACCCAAUAUAAUUACAAGAGUACUCAAAAGUGGAAGAGACAGAGACAGAGACAGGCACAGCCAGAAGGAGAGCCUGGAAGAAGGUGGUAUGAUGGCAGAAGCAAGAGUGAUGUGGCAUAGAAUGAUAAAGACUGGAGUUGCUAUUGCUGGCUUCGAAGACUGGAAAAGGCCAAGGAAUGCUGAUGACCUCUAGGAUCCAGAAGAGGCAAGGAAACCGCUUCUCCUCCAGAAUCUCUAGAAAGGAAUGCUGCUCUGCUGACACCCUGGGUUUAGACUAGUAAGACAUAGGUUGGACUUCUAAAGCUAAAGAACUGUAAUAAAUUUGUGUUAUUAUAAGCUGCUGAAGUUGUG
rnacentral:lncRNA from 12 species